CCCUGGCUCAGCCGGCCGCCUCGACGUGGUGCCAGGGUUUAGUAUUCUUUGCUAGAGAGGAAGCUAAGCGUCUGCU
rnacentral:ribozyme from 1 species